UACGGAGGAUGCAAGCGUUAUCCGGAUUUAUUGGGUUUAAAGGGUGCGUAGGCGGGACGGUAAGUCAGUGGUGAAAUCCGGCAGCUCAACUGUCGAAUUGCCAUUGAUACUGCUGUUCUUGAGUACAUUUGAAGUGGGCGGAAUAUGUCAUGUAGCGGUGAAAUGCUUAGAUAUGACAUAGAACACCGAUUGCGAAGGCAGCUCACUAAGCUGGUACUGACGCUCAGGCACGAAAGUGUGGGGAUCAAACAGG
rnacentral:rRNA from 1 species